rnacentral:rRNA from 1 species
AGAUUAAGUUAUUAAGGGCGCACGGUGGAUGCCUUGGCACUAGAAGCCGAUGAAGGACGUUACUAACGACGAUAUGCUUUGGGGAGCUGUAAGUAAGCUUUGAUCCAGAGAUUUCCGAAUGGGGAAACCCAGCAUGAGUUAUGUCAUGUUAUCGAUAUGUGAAUACAUAGCAUAUCAGAAGGCACACCCGGAGAACUGAAACAUCUUAGUACCCGGAGGAAGAGAAAGAAAAUUCGAUUCCCUUAGUAGCGGCGAGCGAAACGGGAAGAGCCCAAACCAACAAGCUUGCUUGUUGGGGUUGUAGGACACUCUAUACGGAGUUACAAAGGACGACAUUAGACGAAUCAUCUGGAAAGAUGAAUCAAAGAAGGUAAUAAUCCUGUAGUCGAAAAUGUUGUCUCUCUUGAGUGGAUCCUGAGUACGACGGAGCACGUGAAAUUCCGUCGGAAUCUGGGAGGACCAUCUCCUAAGGCUAAAUACUCUCUAGUGACCGAUAGUGAACCAGUACCGUGAGGGAAAGGUGAAAAGCACCCCGGAAGGGGAGUGAAAUAGAACCUGAAACCGUGUGCUUACAAGUAGUCAGAGCCCGUUAAUGGGUGAUGGCGUGCCUUUUGUAGAAUGAACCGGCGAGUUACGAUUUGAUGCAAGGUUAAGCAGUAAAUGUGGAGCCGUAGCGAAAGCGAGUCUGAAUAGGGCGUUUAGUAUUUGGUCGUAGACCCGAAACCAGGUGAUCUACCCUUGGUCAGGUUGAAGUUCAGGUAACACUGAAUGGAGGACCGAACCGACUUACGUUGAAAAGUGAGCGGAUGAACUGAGGGUAGCGGAGAAAUUCCAAUCGAACCUGGAGAUAGCUGGUUCUCUCCGAAAUAGCUUUAGGGCUAGCCUCAAGUGAUGAUUAUUGGAGGUAGAGCACUGUUUGGACGAGGGGCCCCUCUCGGGUUACCGAAUUCAGACAAACUCCGAAUGCCAAUUAAUUUAACUUGGGAGUCAGAACAUGGGUGAUAAGGUCCGUGUUCGAAAGGGAAACAGCCCAGACCACCAGCUAAGGUCCCAAAAUAUAUGUUAAGUGGAAAAGGAUGUGGCGUUGCCCAGACAACUAGGAUGUUGGCUUAGAAGCAGCCAUCAUUUAAAGAGUGCGUAAUAGCUCACUAGUCGAGUGACACUGCGCCGAAAAUGUACCGGGGCUAAACAUAUUACCGAAGCUGUGGAUUGUCCUUUGGACAAUGGUAGGAGAGCGUUCUAAGGGCGUUGAAGCAUGAUCGUAAGGACAUGUGGAGCGCUUAGAAGUGAGAAUGCCGGUGUGAGUAGCGAAAGACGGGUGAGAAUCCCGUCCACCGAUUGACUAAGGUUUCCAGAGGAAGGCUCGUCCGCUCUGGGUUAGUCGGGUCCUAAGCUGAGGCCGACAGGCGUAGGCGAUGGAUAACAGGUUGAUAUUCCUGUACCACCUAUAAUCGUUUUAAUCGAUGGGGGGACGCAGUAGGAUAGGCGAAGCGUGCGAUUGGAUUGCACGUCUAAGCAGUAAGGCUGAGUAUUAGGCAAAUCCGGUACUCGUUAAGGCUGAGCUGUGAUGGGGAGAAGACAUUGUGUCUUCGAGUCGUUGAUUUCACACUGCCGAGAAAAGCCUCUAGAUAGAAAAUAGGUGCCCGUACCGCAAACCGACACAGGUAGUCAAGAUGAGAAUUCUAAGGUGAGCGAGCGAACUCUCGUUAAGGAACUCGGCAAAAUGACCCCGUAACUUCGGGAGAAGGGGUGCUCUUUAGGGUUAACGCCCAGAAGAGCCGCAGUGAAUAGGCCCAAGCGACUGUUUAUCAAAAACACAGGUCUCUGCUAAACCGUAAGGUGAUGUAUAGGGGCUGACGCCUGCCCGGUGCUGGAAGGUUAAGAGGAGUGGUUAGCUUCUGCGAAGCUACGAAUCGAAGCCCCAGUAAACGGCGGCCGUAACUAUAACGGUCCUAAGGUAGCGAAAUUCCUUGUCGGGUAAGUUCCGACCCGCACGAAAGGCGUAACGAUUUGGGCACUGUCUCAACGAGAGACUCGGUGAAAUCAUAGUACCUGUGAAGAUGCAGGUUACCCGCGACAGGACGGAAAGACCCCGUGGAGCUUUACUGUAGCCUGAUAUUGAAAUUCGGCACAGCUUGUACAGGAUAGGUAGGAGCCUUUGAAACGUGAGCGCUAGCUUACGUGGAGGCGCUGGUGGGAUACUACCCUAGCUGUGUUGGCUUUCUAACCCGCACCACUUAUCGUGGUGGGAGACAGUGUCAGGCGGGCAGUUUGACUGGGGCGGUCGCCUCCUAAAAGGUAACGGAGGCGCUCAAAGGUUCCCUCAGAAUGGUUGGAAAUCAUUCAUAGAGUGUAAAGGCAUAAGGGAGCUUGACUGCGAGACCUACAAGUCGAGCAGGGUCGAAAGACGGACUUAGUGAUCCGGUGGUUCCGCAUGGAAGGGCCAUCGCUCAACGGAUAAAAGCUACCCCGGGGAUAACAGGCUUAUCUCCCCCAAGAGUUCACAUCGACGGGGAGGUUUGGCACCUCGAUGUCGGCUCAUCGCAUCCUGGGGCUGUAGUCGGUCCCAAGGGUUGGGCUGUUCGCCCAUUAAAGCGGUACGCGAGCUGGGUUCAGAACGUCGUGAGACAGUUCGGUCCCUAUCCGUCGUGGGCGUAGGAAAUUUGAGAGGAGCUGUCCUUAGUACGAGAGGACCGGGAUGGACAUACCUCUGGUGUACCAGUUGUCGUGCCAACGGCAUAGCUGGGUAGCUAUGUGUGGACGGGAUAAGUGCUGAAAGCAUCUAAGCAUGAAGCCCCCCUCAAGAUGAGAUUUCCCAACUUCGGUUAUAAGAUCCCUCAAAGAUGAUGAGGUUAAUAGGUUCGAGGUGGAAGUAUGGUGACAUGUGGAGCUGACGAAUACUAAUCGAUCGAAGACUUAAUCAAAUU